rnacentral:rRNA from 1 species
UCAUAGAGGGUGAGAAUCCCGUAUUUGGUCAUUCUUUCUAGCUGUGUGAUACACUUUCAAAGAGUCGGAUUGUUUGGGAAUGCAGUCCAAAAUGGGUGGUAAAUUUCAUCUAAAGCUAAAUAUUGGCGAGAGACCGAUAGCGAACAAGUACCGUGAGGGAAAGAUGAAAAGAACUUUGAAAAGAGAGUUAAACAGUACGUGAAAUUGUCAAAAGGGAAGCGUUUGACACCAGUGUUGUUUUUCCGAAAAUCAAUUGUGCCUGGCUGGAUUUUGUAGGAGUUUGACCUUUAUCAGCUUCUUCUGCUUUUUUCCGGUCUGGUGCAAUGCACUUUUCGGUUAACAAGUCAACAUCAAUUUCUUUUGUUGUAAAAGGGUAAUUGGAAGGUGGCUUUCUUUUCGGAGAAAGUGUUUAUAGCCUUUUACCUCUACAAUCGGAGAGAUUGAGGUCUGCAGCGUAGAUCCUUCGGGGUUAGAUACAUUUGUGCUAAGUUAUAGCCGGGUAUAGACAACUUGUUGACUAUACUCGGUCAUGUAGCUUACUCGCUUAUGCUAUUUUACCUACGCUUAGGAUGUUGA